AGGUGUAUAGCUCAGUGGUAGAGCACAUGCCUAGCAUGCACGAGGUCCUGGGUUCAAUUCCCAGUACCUCCA
rnacentral:tRNA from 1 species